CCACAUCUUUUUCUCAGCCUGUCUUCCCGUGCCUUAACAUUUUCUAAAACUGGAGAAGACAAAGGGAAAAAGUUCGAAGGGAGCAGAGUUUGGGCUCAUGCCCUGUUUCCUUGAGCUGUCCUCUGUCAUUAAAGACGUGUCCUUCCAAAAGAAAGGCAUCUGUUUCCAGCCCACGCAGACCUAAACUUUUUCUCAUCACGUGCCUGACCAGAGCCAGUCGGCAGCCAUGUAAUGUGAUCACCAGGGCCAGCCUCCUGACCCACCCAAGCUGAGCCGGGUGACAAUAAGGUUACCCUGUAGAGCUACGCAGCAGCCACACACACAAAAAAAAAACCCAGAAGCACUACAGGCUGGACCUGUGGCUUGGAGACAGGGAACAGCCCUCUGCAGAGAUGACAGGAGACAUGGAAAGCCCAAGACAUCAUGGGAAGUCCAACCAGGCAUCUUCAGAGAUUUUGGGGUGCUUCUGGCUACUUUUGGCAGACCCAGUGGGAGAAACUGCUGUCUACAUUUGAAGGCAACGAGUGGAUGCUGUUCCUUAUAGGUGAGGAUCCAGGCUGAGGGCUGUGGGUUGGGCUCCACACUUGUUCUUUCCCCAUACUAGUUUAUUAUAAUUUAUUGUUGUUGUUUUAUUAUCAUUAUUAUAUUUACUUCAUGUGCAUGUGAAGGAGGCAUGAGCAUCCCAGAGCAUGCAUGUGGUGGUCAGAGGAUAAUUGCAGAAGUUGGUUCUUGCCUUCUACCAUGUGGUACUGGGAACUGAACUCAGGUUUCAAGCUUAUUGCAAGGCUUUACCUGCUUGUGAGCUCAAUCUGCUGUUUGUUGUGGUUUUUGAGACAGGGUCUCAUUAUGUAGUCCUGGCUAUCCUGGAACUCUCAGAGAUCCUCCUGCCUCUGCUUCCUGAGUGUUAUGUUUACAGUUCUACUACCUGCCCAACCAGCUGUUUUUAACCAAGGUUUUUGCUGAAUACUUGUAGCCCACUGCCCUGUGAGCAAGGGCUUAAUAUUUCAAAGUGGCAGCUAUUUUCUGUCAUGGGAAGGACUCCUUAGGUCAUCUCCUACUCACAGAGAGUUAGGCUACUCUAAAUGUUUCCUGUGAUUUAAAAAAUACAAUCUAUUUCCUGUAUGUGUUCAUGUGUAUGCCCGAGUCUACGUACGUGCACCAUGCUCAUAUAGGAACUGGGAGGUCAGAGGAGGGUAUUGGUUUUCCUUGGAGUUACAAAUGGUUGGGAGCCACCGUGUGGGUACUGGGAAUUGAACCUGGGUCCCCUGGAAGAGCAGCCAAUACUCUUAA